AUGUUGUUGGGUCAAUAUCUGAAGCCGUUUUUACCGUUUGCGUCAUCAUCCCUACUGCUGUGCACUAGCAGCAAAAAAACCUCAGCUGCCAAACUUACCAGCACAUGUAAGAAAAAGAUUUCCUCAACAAUAGCUCAAGACUGUCAUGAGCUGAUAAGAUGCUUGUUCAACAUUAUUUUUCAACCAUUUCUCAGUCUGUCAGAGGUCACACUCGUCAAUGAGACUCAAGGAAGAAACAUGGUGAACUUCUUCAUUCUGCCCUUCCUCAGAAGAAACACAACAGAUGCGGGCUGUGUGUCGACUGCUAACAACAGUGUUGAGUGGCUGCAGAAGAACUUUGGCCCGUUCUCUCAGUUUGUGCCUCUCACAGAUCUGCUCUCCAUCAACAGACUCUUUGAUCCCGUAUGUCUCCACAUCUUCACAUGUGAUUUCAUCAAAGAAGGUUUAUACAAAUAACACUGACAUCACUUCACCCGUCACCGAUAUUCUCUUGUUCUUCUGUGUGUCUUUAGUUGGAGACCCUGGACAAUCUCACUCCAAAGCAGGUGGCUGGACUGAUGGUUGAAGAUCUACCUGGCCUACCAGAGAAGGAAGUCGUCAUCAAUUCAGUGUUCGACUAUCUGCUUGUGUCUCCUGUGGAGCGAGGACUUCGUGAUGUUCUUCAAAACCUGCUCUCAAUCUCACAGAUGGUAAAAUUUACACAGUUGUUCUCGAUGGCUCUUUGCAAACCCUAGUCUGAUGCCUCAGGGUUUCGUCUUUGCAUGUGGUUUGUCUUAAAUGAUAUUUAAAGUAAAUCUGCAGUGGUCAAAUACGUGAGUUUGAUGAAUCAUAUGUGUGACAACAGCACUGAUGCUUGUUUGUGUUUCUACAGGCCAUUAUUCCGUGCAGCUCCUACAUACUGAUGUAAGUGCAUUUGGUACAUGAUAUUGAGUCUCUGGCGUCUCUUGCACUGAGAUCUGCUGUAAUUCUGCUGUUCUUUCUCAGAUUCCAGAGGCUGUUUCAGGCUUUACCUUCCCUGCCUACAGAGGUGGAGACUUUGAUCUUGCACACAACUGGAGAACUCAAGCAGAAUGGAGCAAGAGGUUAUCCUUGAUCUUCCUCACUUCUUGCUGUUGAAUCCUCUAGAAGAUCAGCAUGUUUCUAAUUACUUCAGAUGGAAUUAAUUAAUAAAUGUUUGUCUUACUUUCAGACUGUUCACUUCCUGAACCUCCAACAGUAAGAGUUUGUUUUUAGCAUACGUUCCAUCUCUGUCUUGUUCAGUCCUACACAUUUCCUCACUAUGAUUCACUGUUUAAAACUUUUUCACGAAACUCAAAACACACGUUGCUUUAAACAUUUAUUUUUACAUUUUGUCUUUGACUUUCUUCUCCCUUUUUCAUCUGUUUCAGUGUCUGG
ensembl:lncRNA